rnacentral:rRNA from 1 species
ACGACGGGAAAUCCCGCCUAAUACAACAUAAUGCCGGGAGGGGACAUCCCCUGCCGGCCAAAGGGGGCGACCCCGGUCACGGAUGGGCAUGCGGCGCAUUAGGUAGUUGGUGGGGCAACGGCCCACCAAGCCGACGAUGCGUAGGGGUUCUGAGAGGAAGGUCCCCCACAUUGGAACUGAGACACGGUCCAAACUCCUACGGGAGGCAGCAG